UAAUAUAUCGGAACGUGCCCUAGAGUGGGGGAUAACUAGUCGAAAGAUUAGCUAAUACCGCAUACGAUCUACGGAUGAAAGUGGGGGAUCGCAAGACCUCAUGCUCCUGGAGCGGCCGAUAUCUGAUUAGCUAGUUGGUGAGGUAAAAGCUCACCAAGGCGACGAUCAUUAGCUGGUCUGAGAGGACGACCAGCCACACUGGGACUGAGACACGGCCCAUACUCCUACGGGAGGCAGCAGUGGGGAAUUUUGGACAAUGGGGGCAACCCUGAUCCAGCAAUGCCGCGUGAGUGAAGAAGGCCUUCGGGUUGUAAAGCUCUUUUGUCAGGGAAGAAACGGUAAGGCUAAUAUCCUUUGCUAAUGACGGUACCUGAAGAAUAAGCACCGGCUAACUACGUGCCAGCAGCCGCGGUAAUACGUAGGGUGCAAGCGUUAAUCGGAAUUACUGGGCGUAAAGCGUGCGCAGGCGGUUGUGUAAGUCAGAUGUGAAAUCCCCGGGCU
rnacentral:rRNA from 1 species